GAUGAACACUGGCGGCGUGCCUAAUACAUGCAAGUCGAGCGAACAGAUAAGGAGCUUGCUCCUUUGACGUUAGCGGCGGACGGGUGAGUAACACGUGGAUAACCUACCUAUAAGACUGGGAUAACUUCGGGAAACCGGAGCUAAUACCGGAUAACAUAUUGAACCGCAUGGUUCAAUAGUGAAAGGCGGCUUUGCUGUCACUUAUAGAUGGAUCCGCGCCGUAUUAGCUAGUUGGUAAGGUAACGGCUUACCAAGGCAACGAUACGUAGCCGACCUGAGAGGGUGAUCGGCCACACUGGAACUGAGACACGGUCCAGACUCCUACGGGAGGCAGCAGUAGGGAAUCUUCCGCAAUGGGCGAAAGCCUGACGGAGCAACGCCGCGUGAGUGAUGAAGGUCUUCGGAUCGUAAAACUCUGUUAUCAGGGAAGAACAAAUGUGUAAGUAACUGUGCACAUCUUGACGGUACCUGAUCAGAAAGCCACGGCUAACUACGUG
rnacentral:rRNA from 1 species